UACGUAGGGUGCAAGCGUUAAUCGGAAUUACUGGGCGUAAAGCGUGCGCAGGCGGUUAUAUAAGUCAGUUGUGAAAUCCCCGGGCUCAACCUGGGAACUGCAUCUGUGACUGUAUAGCUAGAGUACGGUAGAGGGGGAUGGAAUUCCGCGUGUAGCAGUGAAAUGCGUAGAUAUGCGGAGGAACACCGAUGGCGAAGGCAAUCCCCUGGACCUGUACUGACGCUCAUACACGAAAGCGUGGGGAGCAAACAGG
rnacentral:rRNA from 1 species